rnacentral:rRNA from 1 species
AACGAACGCUGGCGGCAUGCCUAACACAUGCAAGUCGAACGAGACCUUCGGGUCUAGUGGCGCACGGGUGCGUAACGCGUGGGAACCUGCCCUUAGGUUCGGAAUAACUCCCCGAAAGGGGUGCUAAUACCGGUUAAUGUCUUCGGACCAAAGAUUUAUCGCCUUUGGAUGGGCCCGCGUUGGAUUAGCUAGUUGGUAGGGUAAAAGCCUACCAAGGCGACGAUCCAUAGCUGGUCUGAGAGGAUGAUCAGCCACACUGGGACUGAGACACGGCCCAGACUCCUACGGGAGGCAGCAGUGGGGAAUAUUGGACACUGGGCGAAAGCCUGAUCCAGCAAUGCCGCGUGAGUGAUGAAGGCCUUAGGGUUGUAAAGCUCUUUUACCCGGGAUGAUAAUGACAGUACCGGGAGAAUAAGCUCCGGCUAACUCCGUG